rnacentral:tRNA from 1 species
GAACUCCUUUCUAGGAGCAGUUUUUUUAGUGGUUUUGGAAUUCCUUUCCUGUUUGCUUGCAAACAGGGGUUCCAAAACGGGCCAUACGGCACACUUAAAAACAGCUUGUUAGAACAUAGAUGGCACCAGUCAGGUGACCAUCGCAACGCAAUACGCCAGGCAGUGAGGACUUCGGUCCGAAGGCUUGGAGAUGACGCGAACCGCCGUCUACGUUUCUCUUUCUUCAAAAGACAAGGACCACGCUUUGUGUGUGUCUGCCGGCGCGAGCCUGGCGGACGGCAUUUGCGUGUUGUUCAAAACCCUUAUGGGCCCGUAGCUCAGUUGGUUAGAGCACACGCUUGAUAAGCGUGGGGUCGGUAGUUCGAGUCUACCCGGGCCCACCAUGUUUUGUCCUGACGCUGUCGCAGCCUUCGGCUGCUGCGCUCCGGACGGGCCGUGCCACUGGGCACGACGGCCGCUUGGCCUUGCGGAGCUUUGCUCCGGGCGUGCGAUGCGGCUGGGUUAUUUGGUGGUUUUGGAUGACUGGUUUUAAGCGUUGACGGAUCUCUUGGAGUUCAAGAGGUGCGAACCUGAAUGGGGCUGUAGCUCAGCUGGGAGAGCACCUGCUUUGCAAGCAGGGGGUCAGCGGUUCGAUCCCGCUCAGCUCCACCAUGGUUUUGUCCUGACGCUGUCGCAGCCUUUGGCUGCUGCGCUCCGGACGGACCGCGCAACGAUGCGCGACGGGCUUGCCCGUUUUGGUGGCUUGCUGAGGAACGGAUAUCCUUGUCUUUGAAGAAAUAAAAGCUUUGCACCUGGCUUAUGGCCCGGUGCCUGUUGUUGAUACAUUGUGAAGAGAAGAUUGAUCUGGAGGCUUCCAGGUGCUGUGGGGUAACCCAUGGUGUCCGAGCCCUUUCCUUAUGAUCCUUAUGACGGUCUAGCCGACCGGAGUUUGGGGAAGGACGGGAGGUAGGUAGGAAGCUUGUCACUCUGGUCGUUCGUUGUUGGUGGCCUAGGCUGCCUCUGACGAAUUGCUGAUGAUCGUUGCCUGACCGCGCGAUCCCGGAUUUAAUCUCGAGAAGCUGGUCUUAAAGAUAGACUGCAAGUGAGCUGCUCGGCGUAGCUCCGAUAAAGCAGGUCUAUCGAACGCGUCGAUGGCAUCUGACUGUCUGGUUGUAAAAGGUAACCGGACUUCUGGUUGGUCUGCUUCCUCUAGGGGAUGCGGACUUUUUGGCUUGGGCUUUGUUGACACUUGCCCGUAUGGCCGGAUUUGGAACCCCUUCUUUCGUCAGAAAGGAGGAUAGGACUUCCAGAUCGCAGAUAGAGAUGAGCAUUGGCAAUGAGAACGAUUAAGUGUCUUAAGGGCAUUUGGUGGAUGCCCUGGCAG